rnacentral:tRNA from 1 species
GAGAUAAAUCUAUAUUGAGCUUCUAACUCAACUUUAAAUAGUCAAUUACUAUUUUAUCUCU